GAUGAACGCUAGCGGCAGGCCUAAUACAUGCAAGUCGAACGGUGUCUUCGGACAUAGUGGCGCACGGGUGCGUAACACGUAUGCAACCUACCUUACAUUGGGGGAUAGCCUUUCGAAAGGGAGAUUAAUACCGCAUAAGACAGUAGCUGGGCAUCCAGCAGCUGUUAAAGAUUUAUCGAUGUAAGCUGGGCAUGCGUCCAAUUAGCUAGUUGGUGAGGUAACGGCUCACCAAGGCAAUGAUUGGUAGGGGAACUGAGAGGUCAAUCCCCAACACUGGCACUGGGAUACGGGCCAGACUCCUACGGGAGGAAGCAGUAGGGAAUAUUGGGCAAUGGACGCAAGUCUGACCCAGCCAUGCCGCGUGCAGGAUGAAGGCGUUAUGCGUUGUAAACUGCUUUUAUACAGGAAGAAACGACUCUUGCGAGAGGCAUUGACGGUACUGUAUGAAUAAGCACCGGCUAACUCCGUGCCAGCAGCCGCCGUAAUAC
rnacentral:rRNA from 1 species